rnacentral:rRNA from 1 species
AACGUAGGAGGCGAGCGUUAUCCGGAUUUACUGGGCGUAAAGCGCGUGCAGGUGGUACGGUAAGUUGGAUGUGAAAGCUCCCGGCUUAACUGGGAGAGGUCGUUCAAUACUGCCGAACUAGAGGAUGGGAGAGGAAGGUGGAAUUCCGAGUGUAGUGGUGAAAUGCGUAGAUAUUCGGAGGAACACCAGUGGCGAAAGCGGCCUUCUGGCCCAUUUCUGACACUAAGACGCGAAAGCUAGGGUAGCAAACGGGAUUAGAUACCCUCGUA